UUCAAAAUUUAAUAAAAUGUGCAGCUAUAGUUAAACUUUAAAACGUUUAGGUAUUUAUUAUGUUUAUAUGUGAUAUGUUCCAGUUUACAGUUAGAAAAUUCCUUUACAAAUUAGCUACCGACUAUGAGCCGAGUAUAAUAGUGUCAUAAGAAAGUUUAUUGGAUAAAAAUGUAAUUUUACGCUGGAUAUCAGAUACCUAUAGGAUGGAUUAACAUUUUGUUAUGCGCAGUUCUAAACGUGACACUGAGAUCGAGUAAUUUCUGGGGUACUGGAUGUACAUAUCUGGACCGCAGAAUUGUAUGGUUGAGGUUUGUACGCUCCAGAUAUGUAUGUGUCCAGAACGGCCAAAACCCUACGGUCCAGAAUUUUAUGAUCCACAUUUAUACAGUCCAGAUAUGUACGUUCCUGAUAUGUACAGUUUGGGUUUAUACGGUCCAGAUUUAUAAAUUCCAGGUUUAUACGUGGAUCCAUCCUUGCCGCAGGGAAUCACAUCGCUAUUCGUUUUAGAAGGUUUUCAAAUACAAAUGAACGGCGAUUAUCAACCCGACCAAGCAAAUAAUGACCUAUAAUUUUAAUCAGUUCCAAGAAAUAAAAGGGAGGAAAUCUCGCGAAAAGAAAAAAGUAUUAUUAUUGAACUAUAGUGAUCAAUUUUUAAAAAUUAACAAAAUCAAAAUUUACAAAAACAACACAUCAAACAUUGAUCAUAUUUUAAAUAUGUCUGAAAUAUAUAUAAGGGAAAAAAUAAAUGUUCAUUCUAAAAGUUAUUUUCAUUUAAAUAAAAAAAAUCAAGGUAC